GCGCAUGCGUGUUGAUAGUAUUGCAAAUGGCGGCACUUGUUAUUGUUCCAUGGCGUUGAAGAAACAAGGUCAUUUCUAGGAACGUUUUAUCGCCUCCACAGGCGACUUCAGUUGACGAUGGGUCCUCAGGAGGACUACAUUGAGACUGUGUUCACCUGUGAGGGAGAUUACCACGAUCCACAUCUAAAGGAUCGGCUUGAGGAUUUCCAGAAAAGUCUAAAGGAUCUCCUACUCACAGAUAAAAAGAAGCUGAUUCUUAAAAAGGUUGAACCUUGGAAUAGUGUCCGUGUAACUUUUAAAAUCCCUAGAGAGGCUGCAUCAAGAUUGAAACAAUUGGCUCAGCAGGGAAAUGCCACUCUUAGGGAUUUAGGUGUGCUUGCUGUUAAGAUUGAGGAUCAGAACAUUUCCCUUACUAUAGCAGGAAGAAAUAAUGAAAGAACUCAACUUGUGUUCAGAACAGGGGACGCAAUCCAAUCAACUACUCCAUCAGUCUCAGUGUAUAAUACAAACUCACCAUCAUUAGAUGAGCUUGGUCCACAAGGACCCGGACCUAGUCAUGUAGAUGUGACUAGUAAAAAUAUUGCGGAUUAUUUAAGACAAGGGCCUUCAUUGUUAGAUUCAUUAUUUAAUCAGCAGAUAAGUGAAAGACAUGGGGAGGGUGCAAGAGCAAAAGUGAAUAAUAUUUUAUCAGAACAUGGUAUAGGGCAGCAUAGAACAUUUCAACAAACAGCAAGUAAACCUAGUCAUCAUAACAAUCCAUCGACUACAAGUCCAUCAGUUAAUUCUGUGAGUCCAAGUAGAAGUCCAGCAGGGCAAGCGGGACUCAAAUUUCCACAGUUACCUGGUAUGCCCCCUGGCCUACCACCUGGUUUACCGCCAGGGCCUCCUAGACAUUCUUUAGACAACCUUCCCCCUCCACCCCCUUAUCCUGAAGGCAGCUCAUACAUGAACAUGAACAAUCUCCAGAAGUUGCGGCUAAGCAGUGCAGGGGCUAGUCCACUCUUGGUAAACUUGUUGCAGAAUGAUCCUAGUUUGUCAAGUCUACUAGGGACGGGGAGAUUGCCUCCAACUUUAGACCCAGAUUUAUUACAACCACCGAAGAAAAAGAGAAAACCAAGGAAACCUAAGGAAAAGAAGAAGAAAGAAGGGGAGUUUGUGUCAGCACCUAAUGCUAUUAUACCAGGAACUUCUACAGAGCUUACAAGUGGGGCAUCUUUAACAGCAUCUUCACAUUCAGCUUCAACAGUCAUUAAUCGUAACUUAAAUCCCUCAGUGAAAGAACAAGGUUUUCAGAAUGUUCCUCAGGCACUUUUACAUGGUAAAAACUUACAGACUGAACAAAUUGUGCCAUUGACUAGUCCUGGUGUAUGUCGGAAAGAAGAAUGUGAUACUGCUGGUAAGAUAAUAAAUCCAGUUACAGGGCUUUUGGAGCCCAUGGAUUUAUCAGACACAAGUCCAACUAAAAGUGAAGGUGAUAAAAAUUCUCCGCGAUCUCUUACAAAUAAGGUUGGGCUAACUGGGGAACAUAGACUGGACAGUAAACAUAAGGAUAUAGGUAACGCUGCAGAGCUUCAGGGUAGGUUAGAGAACCCCAAUCAGGGCGUACAAAAACAGUUUACUGAACAACUAAAUCCUCAUAGUGUGGCUUCAAGUGAACACAGUUUUAAGCCUUUUAGUUCUAGUCACAUAGGUGUUAACGCUUCAAGUGAACUUUUAAUACAGAAACAUUAUACUGAAGGUGUAAAAAAUGAUAUGUUGACAAAAGGGCGAUUGAAAAAUGAUAUAAUGGCCUCUCAUAGUAACUUAGAACAAAUUGUACCAAAAAGUAAACAUGAUGUGACAAAAGAAAGGCCAGAAGAUAAGUGUGAUAACUUAAGUGCUUUGGAAUUGAAAAAGAAAUCUUUUUCUAGUAAGAGUGAAAACAUACCUCAGGAACUUGACUCUAGAUCUAUUCCCCUUCAAUUGCUCAAUAAACCGUUGUUACAAGUGAAACAUGACAGUAUGAUUAAAUCAUCUGGGUCACCAGAUAGUAACGGAGACUCAGAGUGUUCAAAUCUAGAUACUCAGAAUGGCCCUGACACUGGUAAUCACCAGGGUCCUCAUUUAGAUGUGCGUAGUUACAAUAAUGACUCUGGUGUUGGCAGUUGUUCCGAGAGGUCAGAUGAUACACCGUCCGAACAUGGAGAUAAUGACUUUAAAUCUGGGAAUCACAACUCAUUUGAAUGUGCCAAAACUCCAAAUAUAGAUUCUCUAAAACAGGCUCCGCCACCAAAUGCUAAAAGUAUGAUAGUAGGUUAUGCUCUCGAAGAAACUCAGAAAAACCACAAGUAUAUGUCUGAGAAGGCAAUAUUGAACUCUGUUUUUGAAAGGGUGAAAAUGAAAACUGAAAAAUUAGAUAUGUGUUCUACUAGUCAAUCACAACAGCUACAUAACAACAGAUCAGAUGAAUCAUUACAAUUUGCCAACAAUGUAGAGAACAGAGUAAAACAGGCAGUUUAUGAAAGCAUUCAUAGAAAGAGCCCAAAAAUGUCAACGGGUUUACCAAACUCGUUGCAACAUGCAGCUGAAGGGCAGUUUCCUAUGCAAGGUUCAGAGUCAUCUAUGCAGAAAAAGAAAUCUAGCCCACGUAACAGCCCAAGAGGUAAUUGUAGCCCACGCAAUCCUGGUAGUCCACGUAAUCCUGGCAGCCCAAGGGGAGGUGGAAGCCCGAGAAGCUCAGAACAGACCCAACAAGGAGGUAACAGUCGUCAGUCAUUCCGAACCAGCCAAGAUGUUCCUGCACACAUGGCAUCAAGGGAAUCUCACAGUAAAUCACCAUUUAGUGAAUUAGGAAAAUCUGAACAAAGGCGAUCACCUUUUCAUAUGUUGUCUACAUCACAAUCUGUAGCAGGCAUGUCUGGUCACAUGAAUCAUGUUGGUGUUGAACCACGAACAGUGUCACCACAGUGCAAUAUAGACAGCAUAGCUCUCUUCAAGUCUUUUGAAGCAUAUGCUCAGCCUCAUUUUAGCCAACUCAUGGCUGCAAACAAAGACCCUGGCUUUCUUCAAAAGCUAGAAGAACUAAAACCUUUCUUUCAGAAAUUGCAACAACAUGCAGCUGCACGUUCAGCUGCAACCUCAAUAGCAAAUGGUCUUGAGACUUUGAACCAUACUACACGAGCUUCACCUUCAAAAGGUCAUGUGUCAAAAUCAAGUGUUGGUUCAGCUGUGACUGAGAUAGUUCAUUCUGCCAGUGAAAGUCCUUUGAUGCCAAAUAGUUUACAUGCUGGUCAGUGUAAUACAAAUGUGCUAACAUUAAAAAGUGAAAAAGAAAGUAACAGUGUACAUACAAAAACAAACAAAGUUGUGACAGAGGAACAAAAAAUUGUUACAAGCGUUUCAUCGCGACGUUCAUCUCCUGGAGCUGCAACAAGCACCUCUGUUUCAAUGCAUUCUUUUGAUUCCUCAUUACCUCCACCAAAGAGACUUACUGAGUCUGUGCAGAAACUGUUUCCAUUACCAUUAUUAGACACUUCUCUACCUCAUGCCAAUCGCAGAUCUCCGUCAAGUAGUGCCUCUGUGACAAGAACAAGUUCAGGUCACAUGGCAUCAAGUAAUGCAAAUACACGGGGAUCCGCUCCAUUGAUGUCAACUUCAUUUUCAACAUCAAACACACGAAAUUUCCUUCCAGAAACUUCAGUGCUUGAUAUUGAUACGAUCACUCCAUCUAUAACGGCGGUAAGCAUUGGACCAAUAGACUUUCAAAGUGAUACCUCUCGAAAACUUGGUUUAGAUGCUAUAAAUUUAGAUCAUAAGAGCAGUAUGCCACCUUUGUCAUCAGUGGACUCUCAACCAGUAAGCAUGUCAUAUCCAAGUGUUGUGUCGUCCUCGGCUACUAAAUUAGUGCCAGCUGUAACUGGUUCAAUACCUUCACAUAAACUAGGAGAUUCUAGUGGUAAUUCACUUCAGUCAACAGUAACUAAGCAUAAUGGUACUAAGACUGAAACAUCUCCUUACUCUAACUUAGUAAGUAGUGUUAAUGAAUUAAAAACCUCAGUGUGCAAUAGUGAAACCAAAAUGGCAGGCAAUAGUAUAGUGCAGUCUAAGAGUAAUAACUGUCAGACUUCCUCAUCAGGAUUAGGCCCCCCUAUUCUUCAUCCUCAAACAGUUCCUUAUUCUGUUAAAUACCCUGUCCAGUUGAAUAAAGACAUACCAAAAAGUACUUCUUCUCAAAUGGGUUUGUCUGAAAUGCUUCAGGAAACAGCAAAUAUGCCUGUUCCUGCAACAGGGACUACAACAAUAUCACAACCAGUUCUACAAAUAAAAACAUCUGUAGCAGUUACUAGUGUAAGUUCAGGGCAUGGUACAUCAGUGUCUAGUAAUGUAGUUGAAAAUAUAAAAUCUAAUGUUGAAACUUAUUCAAGUGCAAAAAGUCCAGCAACAGAAACUAAACAAAAGCUAAACUGUGAUGAAAAAAGUGAAAAGCAAAAAGAUUCAUUAAAUGCAGGGACUAAAGUUGGUGCAGAUGAUUCAGAUAUACCUAAAUUAAAACGUCAACCGAGCCUUAAUUUUUCUAUCAAACCUGGGCCUGUCGUAAGGUCCACAUUGAGCAGUGAUUCAUGUGAUAGCGAUUUAAAUAGAUCGCAAGAUUCUUGCUCAUCUAAUAAUUUGACUCCUCCAGUUCUUAUAGCAGUUUCAGAAAUACAAGAUGUGAAAAUAACAACAGAAAAAGAUCCAUUGACAGUGAAAUCUGAGCUUGAAAUUCAUUCUGAACAUAAAAAUUUAACAAAUACAUCUAUUAAUAUACAAACUCCAGCAGGGUCUGGGGCGAACACAAAGAUUGAAAUUGUAAGUGAAGUUGUUAAUGAACAAACAGUUGUUGUGAAUGAAGAUAAACCGCCUUCACUUAUAGUAAACAGUGAUCCUAGUAUUCUUAGUGGCAUUAAUUCUAUUCAUGAAGACUCGGAGUCAUCUCAAUCAGCUGUGGGAGUACAGAGACAAAAAUCACAAAGAAAAAGGAGAGCAUCUUCUGAAAGUGUUGAAGAUAAGCCUGGAGAAGCUCCUAGACAGUUAAGAAGUAGAAAAAGAACUAAUCCUAAUGAAAAUGAUGGUCAUACUUCUGAAGAUGCAAAGAAAUUAAAAAUAGACCCUAAUACUGAACUGUCAAAUAAAGCAGAAAGUGCUAAAGAUAAAAGUGUGCUAAGUGCUAAACCAACUUAUGUAAGCCCAGUUCAAGAAAGUAAAACUUUAGAUGAAACUAAUACUCAAACUGAGUCUAUUAAAGCUGGACUUAGAACUCGGACAAAUUCCAAGAAUAUGCAGGAAGACAAGACAAAGCCCAUGGCUGCACGAGAAAGUCGGAAAGAUAGUAAAGUAGUUGCUGGGAAAGGUGUGGUAGAGAAAAAAGCUGAGGUAUCAAAAAUAGAGGAAAUGAAGCGUAAUCAACAAACAAGGCGAAAUAGACAGUCACCAUCUGCACCAGCAUUGGAAAAACAGACCGGAACUAAUGUUAUAAGGGAAAAAUCUCCAUUGCGAGGAAGUCGAACUAGAGGCCGCAACUCUCCGGUAGUAAUGGAGAACUGUGAAGAGUCCCAAGAAAAUAAACGUACCACAAGAUCUGCUAAGUCUAAGGAAACUAAAGCAUUGGUACGGUGACGUUGUAAUGUGAUGACUUCAUGAAGAGGAAGGCAUGACGUUACGCGGCAAAACAAAUGGAUCAAACGCCCAAACAGGAAAAGUCACAUCAGUAAAUAAACGUCGUAGAACGUCACAAGAUCACAGGUAGCAGGAAUUAAAGAGAUGGAAGUUGAUUUAUGAUUAUCAGACGGGUGAAAAUUGUUAAAAUGUUACAGAAUAGUAUUGAAGCUCAAAUGUUGGAAAUUGAAUUCUUAUAUUCAGUGCUCUUAUACGUGUAGUUGAGGAGUUAUGAUGGAAGAAGUUGAUAGUGAGCAGAGUUGUUAUAGAUAUAUGUUAUUGUAAUAGAUAGGUAACACAAGUGGUGAUCAUAAGUUGUUUCUAGUGCUAAACAUUAAGGGAAAUCAGUGCAGGGAUGUGUACCCUCAAAGAAAAACAACACAAUACUGCUGCAGUGCAGUGCAACAAUUUUAUUUGAAGAAAAAUGCUUAGAAUAAAUAAAUAUGUUUCGAAGCUGCCAUGGAAUGCAAGCUUCUCUCAAGUGUGAUACAUUUGCUUUAUUAAGCACAGGAGGCGGACUUUAUAUAGCGCUAUCACAUAGUUAACAUAUGAAAUAUGUAUACAAAUGCUCAUGGUCACGCAUAUUUUUCAUCAAUCAUUUUGUGUUUUGUUUUCCCAUAUUACCUGUCAUAGAGUUGUUAAUAGAUAAAAUAUGAGACAUUUCUCAGACAGAUUGAUCAUUUUUUCAUACAUUUUUUCUUUUCUUUUUUUUUUUUCUUACCUUGUAUAUAGCAUCUUUGUAAAUUGGCAGUAGAAAAAAAAUGCAGUCACUUUGUUAUAUUUUUUCAUUUAAAUGCUUGUAAAUAUAAAGAUGUAAAUAUGUAUGAAUGUUAAUCAUAUUUAAGUAUGUAGACGUAACAUGAAAAUAAAAAUGGUGAAUAUUCCUUUAUUAUUUGUCGUGGAAAGGCGAGUUUUUCAUGGCCAUUUUGUGAUUUUUUUGUUACUUUAUCAUUUUAGAGAGAUUUAGAUUAAAGCAUCAUAUAAUUGAUUCUUGUUACUGAUGUAUAGUGUUGAGAAAUAUAUUGGAUAUCUAUACAUUAACUGUGUUAUUUAAGACUUUUUUUCUUUAAAUCAAAAUAGACUUGUGUAGUGUGUAAUGUUUUUUGUAUCUGUAAUUUUGUGUACCCAUCUUGUGUCCCAAAAGUUUCUUAUUUCUUACUGACUUCAUUUGUUAGGGUUUCUUUUCCAGAAUUUUAUCAUUUUUUUAUCAAUAUGUAAGCUAAAUGACUCUAUUACAUGAAUGAAAUAAAAGUUCCCUUUUCAAUUAUAUUGUUUACAGCUGAGUGAAUUCUUUAACUGACUAUAAAAAGUUUAUGAAAUUGUAUCAUGUAUUUUACAAUGAUAAAUGAAUUUGCCCGUAAUUUAUAUAUUAGAUUUUUAUUAAAAUUUUGAAAUAUUAUCUAUACACAUCAUGAGACUUACAAUUAUGUAUAUUUUAGAGUAAUAAUUUCUCUGUUUGAAAAAAAAAAUCACAACUUGAAAUAUGUGCUAAAUGGACAGUUCAGCUGUAUAGUUUACAUCUUUUAUAUUGCAUUGAUAUAUUUAUUGGAUGUUUGAUAAAGAAAGUUAUUUUGCCUCUAUAUACCAUUGGAGUAAAGAAGCAUCUAUAAAAUCAUUGUAGAAAAUCAAUGUUUACUUUUUACUAUCCAAAAUUAAUGUUUAUUGUUUACUAUCCAAAAUUAAUGUUUAUUUUUUACUAUCCAUAAGAAAGAUUUAUUUUCAAUGAUGUAAAGACCACAAACUGUAUUUUCAAUUAUGUAAAGACCGCAAAUGAAGAUAACUCUGGUUGAAAUAAGUUCAUCACAUUAAAGAAAAUUCAAUUGAAAUCAUGUUGCCAAUCAAAAAAAAAAUGUGCAGAAUGAAAAUACAGCAUAGUCACAAAGGUUGUGCCAACCUCAUUUUAUGAUCAGAUAACACAAUAGUCCUAUAGUUUGAGUGCAUAUUUUUGAUAAGAUAGUGCAAACUAACCCCAGUGCAUGUAACUUAGUUGCUUGAAAAAUCAUAUAGCUCUGAGAUUUAAUGUUGGAACAGAAUGGAAAUGAUGGGUCUAAUAUAGUUUUGAGAUUUAAUGUCGGAACAGAAUGGAAAUGAUGGGUGUAAUAAAUAUAUAAUAUAUAUAUGUUGCUAAAAGUAGUAAACUAAACAGUUAAUCUUGUUCAAGAAUUGUUGUUUGUUUUCUUUGUUGCAUUGAAACUGGUGACUGGUCACACUUACUUUAAUUCACUUCUUGUAUAGGUGAAAGUUAUUCCUUCUGCCAGAAGUUACAACAUGUACUAUUAUACUAGUUACAUACCAUGUAGUUUUUUUUAUGAAUUUCUGUCAUUUUUACACUAAAGCUGUUCAUACCUGUUUGUGAUUAAUUAACUGUAGUUAUUUAAUUCUUAUAUUUUGAAAAUAUAAGUCCUAUCAUCACAUUGAGGUCUUAUUUUAUUUAGAAAAUAACUAAUUGUUAAUCCAGUAGAUGUUAACUUAACUAUAAACGUCUUGCUAUUAAGUGGUCACAACUACAUGUAGUUACAGAGUUUGGGAAGGGAAAACGUUAACUUAACAAUAGAUGUCUUGCUGUUAAGUGGUUACCACUACAUGUAUUUAUCGAGUUUGGGAAGGGAAAACAACUUUACAUGCUAUCACAUUCUCAAAUCUGGUUCAAAUAAAUUCAUACAUAUAUUUCUUCAUGUUUUGAAAAGGUUUUUCAGGUGUUCAGCUGUUAAUUUACUGAUGAUCUGUUAAAGAAAUUCAUGUUGUUGGAUAUAACUUCUAUUAUCUAUGCAUACACAAAUUAAAACAAUCCUUUGAAACAGAAAUAACAAACUAAAGCAUUGACAUUUCCAAAACU